GGCACAGCCAAGUAAACAUGUACAAUACAGUUAAACACUACCAUUCAUUCCAGCAAAACACUCCCCUCUGCUUGUGAUAGAAUUACUGUACACAAUGGGUUAACAUAAUUAUCACAGGCAGGAAAAUACACAGUUUUAUACAAUAUUCAUAACUCACAAAAUAUGCAUACAAUCUCCAUAAAAGUUACAAAUUAUUACUCAAAUACAAAUGAGCUGG